UUUUUUUUAAGGUAUAGGUUGUGUGUAUUGCUACCCUGGCUUUCUUUCCACUUCCAUUUGCAAGAUAAAUGCUUUCCCAUCCCUUCAUUUUC